GUAGGGAAUAUUGCGCAAUGGACGAAAGUCUGACGCAGCGACGCCGCGUGAGUGAUGAAGGCCUUAGGGUCGUAAAGCUCUGUUGAAUGGGAAGAAAAAAAUGACGGUACCAUUCGAGGAAGGACCGGCUAACUUCGUGCCAGCAGCCGCGGUAAUACGAGGGGUCCUAGCGUUGUUCGGAAUCAUUGGGCGUAAAGGGUGUGUAGGUGGCCAUGUAAGUCAGGUGUGGAAGCCGCGGGCUCAACCCGGGAAGUGCACUUGAUACUGCGUGGCUUGAGUACCGAAGAGGGUAGUGGAAUUCCAGGUGUAGUGGUGAAAUACGUAGAUAUCUGGAGGAACACCGGUGGCGAAGGCGGCUACCUGGUCGAGUACUGACACUGAGACACGAAAGCAUGGGGAUCAAACAGGAUUAGAAACCCUAGUAGUCC
rnacentral:rRNA from 1 species